UACGGGGGGGCAAGCGUUGUUCGGAAUUACUGGGCGUAAAGGGCUCGUAGGCGGCCAACUAAGUCAUACGUGAAAUCCCUCGGCUUAACCGGGGAACUGCGUCUGAUACUGGAUGGCUUGAGUUCGGGAGAGGGAUGCGGAAUUCCUGGUGUAGCGGUGAAAUGCGCAGAUAAUCAGGAGGACACCAAUUGCGAAGGCAGCUCGCUGGGACGUGACUGACGCUGAGACGCGAAAGCGUGGGGAGCAAACGGAUAGAU
rnacentral:rRNA from 1 species